UCCUACGGGAGGCAGCAGUAAGGAAUAUUGGUCAAUGGACGGAAGUCUGAACCAGCCAUGCCGCGUGGAGGAUGACGGCCCUCUGGGUUGUAAACUUCUUUUAUAGGGGGCGAAAAAAGGGUUUUCUAACUCGUCUGACGGUACCCUAUGAAUAAGCACCGGCUAACUCCGUGCCAGCAGCCGCGGUAAUACGGAGGGUGCAAGCGUUAUCCGGAUUUACUGGGUUUAAAGGGAGCGCAGGCGGAUUGGUAAGUCAGUGGUGAAAUACUUGGGCUUAACCCGGGAACUGCCAUUGAUACUAUCAGUCUUGAAUAUUGUUGAGGUUUGCGGAAUGGGUCAUGUAGCGGUGAAAUGCAUAGAUAUGACCCGGAACACCCAUUGCGAAGGCAGCAGGCUAAACAAAGAUUGACGCUGAGGCUCGAAAGCGUGGGGAUCAAACAGGAUUAGAUACCCUGGUAGUCCACGCCCUAAACGAUGAUUACUCGACAUUUGUGAUACACUAUAAGUGUCUGAGCGAAAGCAUUAAGUAUCCAC
rnacentral:rRNA from 1 species